rnacentral:lncRNA from 1 species
AUCCUCCACAAUGUGAAAACAGCUGUCUGUGAUAUCCAACUUUGGGGGCUAAAAAUGUCUGCCACCUUCUUCAGCAACAAAAUAGCCUUCCAGGUGCUAUUCAGGUGUAUCUUAGAGCAGUUCACAGCCAUGUUCAUGUGCAAGGCCUUCCUGCACUGGUACGUAGGUUGGGGCAUGGAUGAGAUGGAGUUGACUGAGGCUGAGAGCAACGUGAAGGACCUGAUGUCUGAGUCCCAACAAUAUCAGGAUGCUAUGGGCAAGCAGGAGGGAGAGUUUGGGGAGUGGGCCGAGGAGGAGGUGGCCU